CCUACGGGAGGCAGCAGUGAGGAAUAUUGGUCAAUGGGCGCGAGUCUGAACCAGCCAAGCCGCGUGAAGGAUGACUGCUCUAUGAGUUGUAAACUUCUUUUGUAAGGGAAUAAAGUCAGGUACAUGUGCCUGUAUGAAUGUACCUUAUGAAUAAGGAUCGGCUAACUCCGUGCCAGCAGCCGCGGUAAUACGGAGGAUUCGAGCGUUAUCCGGAUUUAUUGGGUUUAAAGGGUGCGUAGGUGGGUGGAUAAGUUAGUUGUGAAAUCCCGAGGCUCAACCUCGGAAUUGCCUUUGAUACUGGCAGUCUUGAGUGCAGUUGAGGUAGGCGGAAUGCAUGGUGUAGCGGUGAAAUGCUUAGAGAUCACGCAGAACUCCGAUUGCGAAGGCAGCUUACCAAGCUACCACUGACGUUGAGGCACGAAAGCGUGGGUAUCAAACAGGAUUAGAUACCCUAGUAGUC
rnacentral:rRNA from 1 species